CCUACGGGUGACAGCAGUGGGGAAUAUUGCACAAUGGGGGAAACCCUGAUGCAGCGACGCCGCGUGAGUGAAGAAGUAUCUCGGUACGUAAAGCUCUAUCAGCAGGGAAGAAAAUGACGGUACCUGACUAAGAAGCCCCGGCUAACUACGUGCCAGCAGCCGCGGUAAUACGUAGGGGGCAAGCGUUAUCCGGAUUUACUGGGUGGAAAGGGAGCGUAGACGGCAGCACAAGUCUGGAGUGAAAUCCCGGGGCUUAACCCCGGAACUGCUUUGGAAACGGUGCGGCGGGAGUGCAGGAGGGGUAAGCGGAAUUCCUAGUGUAGCGGUGAAAUGUGUAGAUAUUAGGAGGAACACCGGUGGCGAAGGCGGCUUACUGGACUGUAACUGACGUUGAGGCUCGAAAGCGUGGGGAGCAAACAGGAUUAGAUACCCUGGUAGUC
rnacentral:rRNA from 1 species